AGUGAACGCUGGCGGUAGGCCUAACACAUGCAAGUCGAACGGCAGCACAGUAAGAGCUUGCUCUUACGGGUGGCGAGUGGCGGACGGGUGAGGAAUACAUCGGAAUCUACUUUUUCGUGGGGGAUAACGUAGGGAAACUUACGCUAAUACCGCAUACGACCUACGGGUGAAAGCAGGGGAUCUUCGGACCUUGCGCGAUUGAAUGAGCCGAUGUCGGAUUAGCUAGUUGGCGGGGUAAAGGCCCACCAAGGCGACGAUCCGUAGCUGGUCUGAGAGGAUGAUCAGCCACACUGGAACUGAGACACGGUCCAGACUCCUACGGGAGGCAGCAGUGGGGAAUAUUGGACAAUGGGCGCAAGCCUGAUCCAGCCAUACCGCGUGUGUGAAGAAGGCCUUCGGGUUGUAAAGCCCUUUUGUUUGGAAAGAAAAGCAGCAGGUUAAUACCCCGCUGUUCUGACGGUACCCAAAGAAUAAGCACCGGCUAACUUCGUG
rnacentral:rRNA from 1 species